rnacentral:rRNA from 1 species
AUUGAACGCUGGCGGCAUGCUUUACACAUGCAAGUCGAACGGCAGCGCGGGCUUCGGCCUGGCGGCGAGUGGCGAACGGGUGAGUAAUACAUCGGAACGUGCCCAGUAGUGGGGGAUAGCUCGGCGAAAGCCGGAUUAAUACCGCAUACGACCUGAGGGUGAAAGCGGGGGAUCUUCGGACCUCGCGCUAUUGGAGCGGCCGAUGGCAGAUUAGCUAGUUGGUGGGGUAAAGGCCUACCAAGGCGACGAUCUGUAGCUGGUCUGAGAGGACGACCAGCCACACUGGGAGUGAGACACGGCCCAGACUCCGACGGGAGGCAGCAGUGGGGAAUUUUGGACAAUGGGCGAAAGCCUGAUCCAGCAAUGCCGCGUGUGUGAUGAAGGCCUUCGGGUUGUAAAGCACUUUUGGCGGGAACGAAAAGGACUGUGCCAAUACCACGGUUCGAGGACGGUACCCGCAGAAUAAGCACCGGCUAACUACGU